UAGGAUUAAGUUAUUAUGUAUUUUGGUUGUUGACCAAUCCUAGGCCACACACACAUCCUCUAUCUUCCUUCCCGUGCUCUCUCUCUCUCUCUCUCUCUCUCUCUCUCAGACUCACUAUCUCUCCUCUCUUGUACGGACGUCACCCAAAACCCUUUGAAACGUGACAGAUCGAGGGACUUAAGCACACCAUUGUGUUCGUGAAGCUCAGACGAAUCGAUUGGGAAUUUGAAGCUUAUAGGAAGCUUAAGGAGGUACUCGCGAGUCUCGGGGGCUGAGAUCGACGUGUAUCUAGGUAAGCCAAACUAUCGAGCUUUCUCGAGGAAAACCUAGUGAAUUUUAAGCCUUGUGAAACUUAUAUAACGUGAUUCUACAUGUUAUUAGCUUCAUUUUGGUACCAAUUUUGUGGAAAAUGGUGAAGAAAUGAAGAAGAAUAAGCGUUUUAAAGAUUUACCCAGUUUCCGGCGCCGACGACGGUAGCUGGAGAUUCAAUGGUAGGGAUGACGAAAUAUUCUGUCAACUUUGACGAAAUAUUCCAACGCCUUAAUUAGUUUGGACAGAUUCUGUUAGGACUUAACGGAAUAUUCUCGGUAUAUACCUGAGGGCGUUGACUGACGCCGUUAGUACGCUUGUCAUGUGGCCGCAUGUGGGGGCGCGUAUUGCCGUGCCUUGGCCGGCGCGUGGGUGGUCAGAAAAUUAUUCUAAAAAUAUGGGGAUGUUCGUGGAGUUGUGUAGAUCACAUUGGUAUAUUCAAACACCCCAUUUGAGCAUUGUAUGAGAAGUUAUUAGAUAGUUUUGUCUAUAUGCUCUAAAAUAACGUUUUUAUAGUUAAUUCGCAUAUAGGUGAGACUUAUCUCGAGGACGAGCGUGUUCAAGGGCGACUCAGGGGCUACGACCCUUCGACAUACCAGUUUUAGGUAAGCUUGCUAUCGGUGGCCUUGAGGAUUUCAGCGGUUCUGACUUAUCUAAAUAAUUGUAGGACAUCUUAUGGUAUUGUAUAAUUAGUACUUGUCCUACUGGACUGCACCUAGACUUUCUAUGCCCUGAUUAGGAGUAUUUACUUUU